GACGAACGCUGGCGGCGUGCCUAAUACAUGCAAGUCGAACGAACCUUGCUAGAUUGAUUGGAGUGCUUGCACAAAGAGAUAUUUAGCGCUGGUUAGUGGCGAACGGGUGAGUAACACGUAGGUAACCUACCGAUAAGACGAGGACAACUAUUGGAAACGAUAGCUAAUACUGGAUGUGGUUGUUGAGGGGCAUCUCUUAAUAACUAAAGGAGCUUUAGGGCUUCACUUAUCGAUGGACCUGCGGCGCAUUAGCUAGUAGGUGAGGUAACGGCUCACCUAGGCAAUGAUGCGUAGCCGAUCUGAGAGGAUAAACGGCCACACUGGGACUGAGAUACGGCCCAGACUCCUACGGGAGGCAGCAGUAGGGAAUUUUCCACAAUGGACGAAAGUCUGAUGGAGCAACGCCGCGUGUGCGAAGAAGGUUUUCGGAUUGUAAAGCACUGUUGUAUGGGAAGAAUAAGUUCAUUAGGAAAUGAAUGAAUGAUGACGGUACCAUACGAGGAAGUCACGGCUAACUACGUGCCAGCCGCCGCCGUAA
rnacentral:rRNA from 1 species